rnacentral:rRNA from 1 species
CCUACGGGUGGCAGCAGUGAGGAAUAUUGGUCAAUGGACGAGAGUCUGAACCAGCCAAGUAGCGUGAAGGAUGACUGCCCUAUGGGUUGUAAACUUCUUUUAUAAAGGAAUAAAACGAGGCACGUGUGCCUUUUUGCAUGUACUUUAUGAAUAAGGAUUGGCUAACUCCGUGCCAGCAGCCGCGGUAAUACGGUGGAUUCGAGCGUUUUCCGGAUUUCUUGGGUUUAAAGGGAGCGUAGAUGGGUUGUUAAGUUAGUUGGGAAAGUUUGCGGCUCAACCGUAAAAUUGCAAUUGAUACUGGCAGUCUUGAGUACAGUUGAGGUAAGCGGAAUGCGUGGUGUAGCGGUGAAAUGCAUAGAUAUCACGAAGAACCCCGAUUGCGAAGGCAGCUUACUAAACUGUGACUGACAUUGAUGCUCGAAAGUGUGGGUAUCAAACAGGAUUAGAUACCCCAGUAGUC